AGAGAAAGAAAAACAAUGACAAACAAGACUGGUCACUUGUUUUGUCUCGCUUUAGCCGAGAGAGAGUAGAGAGAAAAAAUUUGUGCCAGAGAAAAAAUUUGUGCCAUGCUUCAACCUUCCAGCCGAGAGGAGCUUGAGAGAAGAAUAAAGAAAUUUCUCUUGUUUUGCUUCCACUUCAGCCAAGAGGAACCAGAGAGAGAACACUUAAAGGAAGCUUGUGUCUUACUUCCAUUUCCAGCUUGCUUGAUCGGGUAGAAGGACCAAAACAGGGGAGUUAACUUCUAGCUUGUGUCAAAGGUAACAUGACUUGGAAUUUCAAUUUCUUUCACAUACUUUAGAGGGCUUUUGAUGUAUGUUUGGUUGAGGUUGGAUUGAGGUAGAAACAGGUUGUAGAGACUUGCUUUAUUGCUGGAAAUUUUCCAGCUUGGAUUGAACUAGGAAUAACCAUUUGUUUUCUAGUUUUUGGCUCUUGUUUUCCUGCAAGUUACUAGGGAAUCCUUGAAUCCUUUUCGAUAGAUGAAGCUUGGUGUAAAUAUAGCAUGCACGUAAGCUAGUAGUUGCUAAAAUGAAAUUUCUAGAUUUGACCGAGGGAGAAACAUGAGCUCAAUUUACAGCCGAAUUGGCCUUGGCCUAAAACAUGAAAGUUGUAGGGAAUGACAUUUUAGAGAUGCCUGCAAAAUUUCGGGUCAAUCAGAAUAGUGUAGAGUGAGAAAAGUCAAAAAUACCCCUGCUGCCCUGGUUUCAUCCGAACUUGGGACUUGUUUCUGUAAUUAGCUAAUUUGGCUAGGAAUACUUCUGAACUGGAUGUUGAGGUCUUCUGAGGAAAUGUAGCCUGAUGUCCUAGCUAUCAUUUGGCUUUGGAAUCAAUGGAUUUGGACUUAAGUAGACCGAAUUGUAGUUCGUUAACCAGAACGUGGGUUGUCCACCUGUUUUUACGGUUCUGAACUAGUGUAUUGUAUUUUUGACCUAGUUGCACUACAAACUGGACUGAGUGACCUUCUACAUUGUUGUAGUCCUGUCUCUUAGCUUCGAAACGGUGUAUUUUGCACCUCUAUCCAAUUAUCGUAGUGCCUUUAGUGCCAUUUCCGCAAAAUGUUGUCAAGUAUUGUUUUAUCUGAAAAUGUUUCUAGCUUGCUUUUCGUAAUUAUUGUUGUAUUUAUAUGACUUUAAGCCUAGUGAACGGCUUUUGGACAUGAGAUUAUUCUAUAUGACAUGUUGGGACUGAUUUGAGAAAAAAAUGAAGCCAUUAAUGGCUGGAAAAAUAGGUAAACACAAGGGACAUGCCGUCCGUUUAUUUUCUUGUAAAUUGAAUAAGUUAAAGUGGUUUUUUUGGAAAUAUAUUUUGUAUCAAAUUGAAUGUAUUGCCUUGGAAGUGACUUCGGGUUUUUGAAUAAGGGUUCGAAGACUACAUUUCUAUUCGAACUCGUAUAUUGUCUUUUGGCAAAUAAUGUGACCGUUUUAUCUAUUGAAAACAUGAUACCUCUUUCGUUUCAAACUUCAAAUGGUCCUUAAGCCUUUCCAACCGAUAGAGGUAUGAGUUCGGGUUUUAACGGCCACAAGUGAAUUGCUUUUAAACAAGGUUUUAAGUGUGGAGGUUAAAGUAUUGUAUCCUCCUUUUCACAUGAUUUUCAUCAAGGCAUUGGUCAUUCAUUGGCCACUUGAAUAAAUAUGUUUUCGAGUCACAUAAGCAAUUCCGAAAGAAUGUUUUCUUAGCCCCUCUUCUGGAACUUUGAAUUGUUUUGAGUCAAGUGUUUCCUUUUAGAGACUUUAUAACCCUAUUGGUUUGGGUUGCAUUAGGAUUAUUCUUGUUUACGGAUCCAAAUGCCUCUUUACACUUUGAAAGUCUUUUAUACGUUUACUCGCGAGUAGUCGGGUUUUGGUUGAUUUCCUCUAAAUCAUGUUAGAUGGAUUGUAAUGUGAUCUUUGUGGAAUUUUAGGUUUCAUUGGUGAUUGAGAAUUGGGCGUUGUUUUGCGGUUAUAGGUGAGUGUUCCUUAUUUGUUAUUUUUCCUGAUUAUAUGGCUUGUUUGAAUGAUUGAUAACAUGUUAAACGCUUUCAAUGAUUGCUAAACGAUUUUCGAGGCGAGUGUGUACUUUACCGCACUUAGCCUAAAUGAUUGUGAAAUUUUAAUGAUUGAGCGAUUGAAAUGUUAAUUGUGCAUGAAUGUAGGCCUUCGGGCUGAACUGGCCAUUGCCCCUUGUUACCGGUCGUCUCGAGCCAGUCGGACUCGGUCGAGCGAUUAGGAACUUGGGUGAAUGAUCCGGUAUACUCGAGUAUUACCCUGUAGGUUGGUGGAGCCUGGCCAAAAGCCAGGGACGGGGUGAAUGAAAUGAAUGAAUGAAUGAACGAGGGGUUUUACUUAUACAAAAUGCUUUUUCAAAUGAUUGAAGGAAGGAGAAUGGAAGGAGAAUGAAUGAAUGAACGAUUGGCUCCUUGUGAGCCCGUAUCCUUUUAAUGAAUGUGUUUAUCGCUUUAUUGUACUUGUAUUGUGAAUUGUUGUUUACAUGCAUUUGUUUCUCUUGUUGCCUAUGUGUACGGAACCUCACUGAGCUUUUCAGCUCAUCCCUUUAGUUUUUCUUUUCCUUAGCAGGGGAAGACGUGCGAGGACGGAAGCUACGAAUGGAUUAGCCGUUUUAGUACUUUGGUUUCUUUUGUAAAGGUUCUCGCCCUAGUGCUUGGCACGGGCUGGUUGUAUGGUGAAUUGAGAACCUAUAUUUUGACAGUUGUAUUUCCAUUGAGACAGUAAUGUAUAUAAGUUCACGUUUGAGUUUGGAAUUAUUGUUAUUUCGAUUGUUUUGUGGAUUUUCUUAUCUUUUCUUAUAGUGACUGACUGAGUCCCGGCGAGAGCUGGGCAGGCGGUCCGCCGAUACCCUGGGGUACGCCCUAGGGAGAAGUGGGGCCGUUACAGUUGGUAUCAGAGCCUGCUUCGCGUGGUCUCUGCGCGGAGUGAGCCUGGACUAAGUGAUGAAUAGGUAUGACGGACUAAGUGCUCGUUUGAGCAUAAGCUUUGAACUGUGAAUGUUAUAGGCCUUAAAUCUUUCUCGGGGUAUCUAAGGACAAUAGAUAGGUACGUCUGGGAGGAAUUCCGAUUGUAGAUGGUUUACUCUUGGGACUGGCCAGCUCGAGAAGUGAAUUAUCUUAUUUCGGAUUCUCGUACCCGAGUACUCCAGAGUUGAGACGAUGUUAAGUAUAUGAGAUUUAUAUUUUGGGACCAUGAACAGGCUUUGUCCAACUAGAAUGAGUACCAGAGGUUAAGGGAUAUCCAGUGUGAACAGUAAGUGACGUGAGAGACCGGACGGGGCUACCUUAGCUGAGACUGGGGCGACCAUUACCUCCUUGUUUGAUUCGCCAGUAUAUUCUUAUUAAAUGACGUCUAUUGAUGUAAUUGUGCGUAUGAAUGUUUUCCUGACUUGAUAUGUACUUGUGAAAUUGAUCCUCUAGUUACUUGAUAUGUGGAGUGUUAUGUGCGUAAAUGUUACUUGUGUACUUGGUACAUCGAUGUUGUUGUUUUAGACAUCUUAUCGCCUUUAUUCAUUAAAUUAACUUUUGGAAAAAAAAAGAGAGAAGGGAAAUAUGUAUCUAUGGACGGGAGACGUAGUCGUAGACGUGGUUAAGGCCGUGGAACUAAACGGACCUCAGAACCAAGAGCAGAAAGGGAAAUGUCUGUCGAGCAAGACCAAGGACCGAGAAAUGCAACUGGAGACCAAAUAGCGACGGUAAUGCAACAAAUGACGGAUAUUUUGGCGAGAUUAGUAGAGCAACAAGGCCAAGUCCCGGUAAAUCAACCCCGGAACCCUGAGAUGGGCGAAGAUAAGGCUCUGGAGAGGUUUCAGAAGUUUGCACCUCCAAAAUUCGCUGGAGGGCCUGACCCGGAUACCGCUGAACAAUGGCUAGAGGCCAUGCAAAGCGGAGGGGACAGCUAACAUACCAAAAGGUAUCACAGAAAGAGUCCAUUCAUGAGUGAAGACAGGAUCACAGCCUUAAACUACACCGAGCUAAGGCAAGUGAACUUCGCAGUAUUUCAAUUUGAAGGACCGGCUCGAUCAUGGUGGAACGUAAUUAGAGCGAAAUGGGAAAGGGAACGAACCAUAUGGACCUGGGCGAACUUUACCAGAGAAUUUAAUGAGAAGUACCUCCCACCUUUAGUCCAGGAAAGGAGGGAGGACGAAUUUAUUGGACUACGUCAGGGGACAUUGAGUGUGGCUGAAUACGAAACGAAAUUUACCAAACUAUCCAAGUUUGCCUCAGAAUUAGUCGCUACGGAACCGAGAAGAGUAAGGCGGUUCAUACAGGGAUUGAACUUGGACAUUCAGGAGGCGUUGGCAGCAGCGCAAGUGAAUACCUUUACGGAGGCCCUUGAGAAGGCUCAACGAAUCGAGAGAGUCAAGGCACAAAUAAAGGCCUCCCAAACUCGGAAAAGAGGUGCAUCGGGCAGUGGAUUAGAAGAGUUUAGUGAAUCGAUGGCGCCGUCUAAAGUACAAAAGGGGAGCCAGUUAUCCUAUCCGCCAUGGACAAUAAGGGCGAUGGAUGAGAGGUCUACUAAAGGAAGUCAAAUUGGAUCUAAGGAGAUUUCUCAAGAUAGUCAAAAGGUGACCUCUCCCUUGAUUUGCGGUUACUGUGGAAAGGCCAACCACACCGAAGAUGCUUGUUGGCAGAAAGGGCGGAAAUGUUUAAUUUGUGGAAGCAGUGAGCAUCAAGUGAGCAAUUGUCCGAGGAGGCAUCCACGUGAGGGUAGUACUCAGUCACAAGAUGGAACGAAAUCAAAACCAGUGAAAGAAAGAGGGAACCGAACCAAUGUACCGGCCAAAGCAUAUGCAUUAGAUAACCGAACGGUUCCAGACUCGCCUGAGGCUAAUGAAGGUAAAAAUUUCGAGAACGAAAUUUCCUAAGGGGGGGAGAGUGUGAGAACCCUAACUUCCCUCAAUUUUCUUGGCCUUUUGCUUAUUUUCUUUUCUCCAUUUUUAGUGAAAUUUGUUAACCCUUUCGGUUAAACAAUGGAAGGUUCAUUGUUAUGUGCAUUUGUGUGUGAGAUAUGUAUGUAAGUGUAUGUGUUAGAAGUGCGGUUGAACGCGGCAAUCGAAUUCGGAAAAGAAGAGAAAAUUUUGGAAAAAUGAAGUGGCCAAAUCCGGCCGGAAAUCCGGCCAGUUUCUUGCCGGAUAGCUGGCCGGAUUGCCCUGUAAUUUUGAAAAAAAAUUUGUUUAGCCUCUGCCUCAUAUCCGGUCAAGAAUCCGGCCGGAAAUCCGGCCAGAUUCUGGCCGGAUUGUGACGUGUCACAGCCGGUCAGAGGCUUUGACCGGCUGUUUCUUUCAUUCUUAUCCCACCUUUUUGGUCCAAAAUAUCUCAUUUCUUCCCUGUCCAGCUGUGAGCUUUGAGAGCAAAGAGAGAAAAACUCUUCAAUCUUCAUCUUUGAUUUUUGCUUCAAUCUUGAAACUCCACCAAUAGAUUUUUAAUUCCUUCCAUACAAGUGAGCUUCUUGGAAGGUUAAAGCUUUUGGGUGGAGUGAUUUUUAAAGGGGAGCUUGGAAUUUCUAGUCUUCUUGAGUUGUGAGGUAAGAUAAUUAAGAAAGUUCCCUCUUGCAUUGAUAAUGGCUAAUUUGUGAAUUGUAUGGGUUGGAUAUGUUAUUUUGUGAGUUAUAUCUUGAUUAGGACCAAGAUAAAAGUACAAAGGAAUAAAAUGCAUUUUCCGCCCACAUAUCUUCUAAAGAAAUUCUGCUUUGAAAAUUUAAAGAAAAACUAGGAUGUACUAGUUUUAUUUGUAAGCGAUGAGUGGAAAUAAGAUAUAUAUGCUUUAAAUAUGUGUAAUUUUCCGAUUUUGGUAAAAAGGUGAGUUUUACUUGAAUUUCAAAUUUGAAAAUUUGUGAAUAACUAAUGAGUUGUUGAACUUUGUAUAUGAUGGGUUAAUACAAGAUUAACAUUUUCUAAGCUAAGUUUUCCCCCUUGAUUGUAUAUUGGUGUAAUCUCACACUUGAAUUUGUCCAUGCUUUACACGAAGAAAAAUAUAUAUAUAUAUCCUGAGUUUUCGAAAGAAUGGCAAGGUUAUGUUUAAUAAUGUGAAUCCUGAACUUGAUAAGAUUUCUGAUUACUUGAAAUACUCUUCUUAUGUUUUAAAAUUCUUGACUUUCAAGAAGAGUGAGCCAAUUUUAAAUGUACGGACUGAGGCAACUUUGAGAUAUAGAGCAACUGCAUUCAAGAGUACAAGUUAGUGUGAAUUGAUUUGGUUUCCAUUUGACACGUAAGGUAGCAAGUUGUACUUAUUCUUGGGUUUGAACUUGGAGCUUGAAACUUUAAUUACAAAACCCUAAGACUGGUUAUUUUUGGAGAUGAUGGUGUUCCGAUUGGUGGCUGGUUAUUAAAGAUUUUGAACUUCGAAUGGAUAAUCUUGGUUUUAGCUUGCGUUAUGGCUUUAUUGGAUCUAAUUUCGUAAAGGCGUGUGAUCUGAUUGAAAUUAGUGAUGUGUGGACCCUUUGGUUUAACUAUGGACUUAGAAAGGGGUAGUGCACGCUGUGAGGCCUUUUGUAUCCUGCUUGUAUGUACUUAUAUAUUUUUGUGGCACUUAAUUGCCUAUGUGCAAUAUUGGACAUAUUGGUCUUGUUUUGUAACUUCUAACCGUGCUAUAACUUUUGAUACAUGUAAUGAAUCAUGACCUGAUUUAAAUGUUUUUGCAACUUGUAUACGCGUUACGCUCUUUAUGCUUAGUUAUGCCUUUUCCUGUGCUUAUAGACUUUUCUUAAGUAGGGUAGCAGGAAUGAGAAAAGGGGACCGUGACCGAGGGCUUAGACAACCCUGUACUUGUGAGACAAAUUGAUAGACAGUUUCAUAUAAUUUAAUAGGUCCCUAGUACUGAAUAUGAAUCGAACAUAAACCCGAAGAUCCGAUCUACUAGUGUAUAAUGGAUUAACCUAGCCGGAAACUUGGUGAGAUUUUCUUGUGCGCAACAUAUGUUAUGAUUGGUUCUGUGCCAAUAUAUCAAUCUUAGGAAGUUUGAACUCCGAAAGUAUUGCAGUGGGUUGGUAAGAGAACUCGAACUGCCUGAAACCGAUUAGACUGAGCUUACUUGAGACUUGAACCUGUUUAGGCUAGUGUGCUCUUGCGUAUCCUCAAUGGACCUAAUUUGACUGAAUAUAUGGAAGGUGGACUUGAAUUUUGUGACUGUUUAAGAAUGUGAAUUGCUGGACAGAGGUUAGGCCAGUGUGUUCUUACUCGUACUCAUGACCCUUGAAUUUGAACUUGAACUUGCACUUGAACUUGAACUUAUAUUUUUGUUCGUACUCACGCACCAUGAACCUGAAGUAUUUGGCUCUGCUUUGACCCUACUCUUGAACUUAUUCGUACUGGUGUGGUUGUAGACCGGUUACUACUCUUCUGUAGCGGUUGAACUGAACCUCUCUGGUGGGGCAUUGCUUGUUGUGUUGUCCAGCACCACUAGGGAUGAACUUUUGAUUUGAAGCUUCGCUAUAUCCUGAAUUUCUUCCAAAUGUCUGGGACUUUACGUCCGACUUCAAGCCUUUUGCCUGUUUUAUCUGAUUACGCGAUUAAUUCCCUAUUGGACCAUGACUAUUUGAUAGGUUGGAUUGGUGUGAUAUGUAGUACUUGAACCUGAUAAGUGAUUAUUAAAUAAACCAUGCUUUGCUGGAUGUAAGGGGUAAGUUAGCCUCGUCUGCACUUAUUUCGGGAAUUCGGGCUAGAAAAUUGUUAAAUAAGGGAGCUCAAGGAUAUUUGGCUUUUCUUAUUAAUACCCGUAGCGAUAAGGUGAAUCUGGAGGACACACCGGUAGUGAAAGAAUUUUCCGAUGUUUUUCCUGAAGAAUUGGAGUCCCUACCCCCGGAACGGGAAAUAGCUUUUAAGAUUGAUGUAGCUCCGGGAACAGCACCUAUCUCAAGGACACCAUAUCGGAUGGCUCCAGCUGAAUUAAAGGAAUUGAAGUUACAAUUACAGGAUCUGUUGGAACGAGGUUUUAUACGAGAGAGUGAUUUCCCGUGGGGAGCCCCGAUUUUGUUUGUAAAGAAGAAAGAUGGGAAUUUGAGGCAACGUAGAUGGAUGGAAUUUCUGGAAGAUUAUGAUUGUACGAUUAAGUACCACCCUGGAAAGGCCAAUGUAGUGGCCGAUGCUCUAAGCCGUCAGGUACAAAUGGCUGGAUUGAUGGUUAAGGAAUUUCAAUUGUUGGAGGAAGUUAGCUAUUGGAAUCCUCGAUUAGAACCAAGGAAAGUGAUUUUGGAGAAUAUUGUGAUAACCUCCACUUUAUUGGAACGUAUUAAGGAAUCUCAGGAAAAGGACCCUGAAAUGCAAAAGUUGGUGGAGAAAGUCAAGAUGGGAGACCAGACCGAUUUCACUUUGGGAUCAGAUAGAAUAUUGAGAUUUUGAAAUCGGGUGGUUAUGCCAAAGGAUGAAGGGCUUAGGAAAGAAAUUUUGGAAGAGGCACACCGAUCAAAGUUUACAGUACAUCCAGGAGGGAAUAAAAUGUACCAAGAUUUGAAAAGUAUAUAUUGGUGGAAAAAUAUGAAAAAGGAAAUUGCCCAAUUUGUUCAGACAUGCUUGGUUUGUCAACAGGUUAAAGCCGAACAUCAGAAACCAUCAGGACUUUUGCAACCUCUAGAAAUACUUGAGUGGAAGUGGGAGAAUAUAACCAUGGAUUUUGUAUCAGGCUUACCAAGGACACAGAGAGGCCAUGAUGCCAUUUGGGUGAUAGUGGAUAGAUUGACUAAAUCAGCUCAUUUUCUACCGAUUAACAUAAAGUAUUCAUUGGAGAAUUUGGCCAGAUUGUACUUGGAUGAGAUCAUCAGACUACAUGGUAUACCUGUGAGUAUUGUGUCAGAUAGGGACCCAAGAUUGUUUCGAGGUUUUGGCAAAAGAUGCAAGAAGUGUUGGGGACUAAGUUAAACUUUAGUACCACCUAUCAUCCUCAGACUGAUGGACAAUCUGAAAGAACAAUUCAGACCCUUGAGGACAUGUUGAGGACUUGUGUAUUGGAUUUUGGAGAGAAUUAGAGUAAGUUUUUGACUUUAGUGGAAUUUGCCUAUAACAAUAGUUUCCACUCUUCUAUUCAAAUGGCUCCAUAUGAAGCGCUUUAUGGUCGAAAGUGUAGAUCCCCGAUUUGUUGGGAUGAAGUAGGUGAACGAAAAAUUUUUGACCCGACUACUGUAUCUUGGAUUGAGGAGGCUAAUGAAAAGGUAAAAUUGGUACGGCAAAAGAUUCAAACAGCUCAGAGUAGACAAAAAAAAGUUAUGCCGACAAUCGGAGAAAGGAUUUGGAGUUCACUGUUGGAGAUAUGGUAUUUCUCAAGAUUACGCCUUUAAAAGCAAGCUUGAUGUCCGGAAAAGGGAAGAAACUACAACCAAUGUUUGUAGGACCUUACAAGGUUAUCCAACGAGUUGGGAAUGUAGCUUAUAAGCUAGAAUUACCACCGAGCUUAUCUCGUAUUCAUAACGUGUUUCAUGUGUCCAUGCUUAAGAAGUAUCAUCCAGACCCCUCUCAUGUUUUACAACCGGAGAAUAUUGAGAUCGAUGAAACCCUAACCUAUGAGGAGAGACCGGUAAAACUUCUGGAUCGAAAGGUGAAGGAAUUGAGGAACAAGCAGAUACCACUAGUGAAAGUUCUAUGGAAGAACCAUGGAGUAGAGGAAGCAACAUGGGAAGUUGAAGAGACAAUCAGAGAGAAGUAUCCAGACUUGUUCAUCGACCAAGGUAAAUUUCGAGGACGAAAUUUUCUUAAGGAGGAGAGGAUGUGAGGACUCGCAAAAAAAAAAACUAUUAUUUUAUGCCUAAUUUAUGGCUUAAUGAAUUAUUUAAUUUGAUUUCUAUUCCAAGGAAUAUUUUCUAGUCUUAUUAGACCUAAAUACAUGGUAAUAUAACUUCGUUAUAUUUUUAAAAUGAUUCGUUUCGAAAAUUAAUUUCCUGGAGCGCGUUUCGUAAAAAUAGUGAAUAGUACUUGGAGAUUUUAUCCGCGUAGUAGCACAAUAAGCUUGGAAUAUUGGAGACUUGUACUAUGGUCCUAAAAUAGGUAAUCUUAGGUAUAAAUAUUCAAGUGAUAGUUAGUAGUGCAAUCGUUAUAAGAAUUUUUCGAAAGUUUCGCGUUAUAACGUCAAAUUUGACGGUACGCGUUUUCACACGCGUGACUUUAUUUGAGGGACUUUAGACCCUUAUUUUGGGACAAUUAAGAGUGAAUAAUACUUACAUGAAUAUUAAGGCAUUGGAGGUUUAGUGCACUAGUGAACCAAACGCGCGAAAAAAUCGAGCCGUAAUCGCACCAAACGGCCCCUAAUGAGAGUUGACUUUUGGGUGAAUUUCCACCACUUGUUUUACCUUCUCUUGGAAGCUAAAGGAAAGUCUGAUCACUCUCUCUCCUCCUCUCAAGACAGCCGACCAAACACCCUCCUCUCUCUAACUCAUUUGCUUCAAAAUUUCUGCUCACUAAUCUCACUCAAAACCACCCCAAAUCAUCUCCAAAUUCAACCAAACUUGCACCACACCUAACUUGAUACUUGAGGAGCAUUUUGAGCUGCAAACAAGGGCUGGAAAUCACGGUUUUUCUGGGGCAAUAGAGGGCCGAAAAUUCUGCUGAACAUCAACCCAAAGUAUGUGAUGAUCCACUCUUGAAAACUUGAAGUUUGGAAUCUAUCUUACCUUGUUAAGUUCAUGCAUGCAUUUGGUUAGCUUGUGUAUGGUGUAAAAAUGUGAUUGUGGGCUCUUUGUAUUCCCACACUUGGGUUGUUGUUGCUGAUGUGAUGAUUGAUGGUGGUUAUAUUGUUGGUUUAGUGGUUAAAAUGAUGCAUUAGUGGUGGGUAAUUAGUAGAAACUUCAUUGGGUGUAAGAAGCUAAAAUUUCCGAUUUUGCCCCUGCCAUGUUCGGACAUUUCCAGGCCAAUUUUUAAUGGUCUAACGGCUUGAAUUGGACGUUUAUAGGAUGUAUUAGAUGUGUGAAAAAUUUCAUUGGAAAAUAUUGAGGUUUGAUUGAGCAAAUGAAUUUUCUUGAGAAACUAGCAAAUCUGGAAAACUGUUCGCGUAUGAUUCUGACCAGUGGUAGUAUUUCGGCUAUAACUCUGUCCUCGGAUGUCGAAAUCAUGUGCCGUCGGUGGCGUUUGAAACUAGACAUUCCUGGCUUUAAUUUGGUAUAUAAUGCACGUUCUGAUUCUUUGUGAGCAAGCCGAACCACAUGUUUUAAGUUCGCUGUCCUGUUGCUCUGUUCAUCUGUAAUGAAGUGUUCAGGCAGCAACUUGAUGCCCGAUUUUGCACCAGAUGGGUGCCGAAUUUGGAAACGAUUUCUUUUGUGAUAUUUUAUUGCUAUGAAUGUACUUUCCAACGGCGUAAGCCAUGCUCGAUUUCGAGUUAUAUUGACUGAGUUGUGACUGAAACAAGUGGACUGCUCUGUUUUGGAAAAACCCUAAUGUUGGACUGGUUUGGAACAAGAUCUUGGAGUGAACUUGUUAAUUGAUGUUCUUGAUACUAAACACUUACCAAAGGCAUUAUGGUUGUUUCUUAGGCCUUUAUUUCACAAAUGAACCAUGAUUGGAUAGUUUGCUUGAUUAAACGUUUUGAAAUGGGUAAUGAAAGUCUCAAGGCAGAUUGCCUUAUAAUUUUCCUGAACUUUGGUUGACUAAUUAACUAUCUUUCCGAAAGUAUUUUUCCCUGAAAUUUGAUAGAACGGUACCUUUCAUAUGGGAGUAAAAUACUGCCAAUUUUUGUACCAAUCCAAGUUCGUUUCGAUACCCAAUUAAAUUGCUAGAGUUGGAGGUUCAAAUCUGGAAAUUCUUCUCCAGUCUUGAAUUUCCCCAACUUUGAGCUACCGUAUCUCGGUACUCGAAACUCCGAUUCUUGAUCUGCUUGUUUUGUUAUAAACCUCACUUGUAACACUAAUUGAGCUACAAAUUUCAGAGGCCGGUUUGCAACGUGUGAAUCGUGCCGAAUUUCCAAAGUUGGCCGAAAUCCAACUUAAUUCUGCCAUGAAAACCAACCCUGCGUCUUCAAACUCAUUUUUGAACACUUUUCACUUCGAUUCAUAGAAAAGUGUCUUCUAGGGACUUAUAGUACUUUCUAAGAGGUUUCCAACGGUAUAAAGUUUUCCAAUUCUUGACUUAUACCGAGCGAGUUAUGAUUUUUCAAAAAUUCAUAAUAAAACUGAAAAUUUUCCAAUUUCAAAGAAAUAGAGUUUUUCAAGAACUCUUUAUUCUUUUGAUAUUCUUAAACGUUUUGCCCUCGAUUCUCAUGAUAAAAACUCAAAUAAUAUUGUACCUAAUAAAAGGCAAGUCGAACCUCGAUUUACGUGUAAUCGAGGUUCCCUUUUCGAAAUAAUCCUUAAAUUGUACUAGUGUACAAUCUUCUUGAUAAGUGGGUUAAUUGUGUAAUUAUCCACUAUUAAUUGCCAGGCGCACAAGGAGACCUUCAAGAGGAACUCACAGUGGACACUUGAACUCCCAGAAAAUAAUUCUUAUUGAAUAGCUCGGUGAGUGUCAAGUGUGUGAAAUUUGAUACUUGCUUAUUUGUGAUAAUUGUUGGAAGUUUUAAGAAUAAGGGCGGGUGCGUACUUUAUCGCGCUCGUUCUAAUUUCAAAUGAAUGAAUGAAAUGUAUUGAAUGAAUGAAUGAAAUGAAAUGUUAUGUCAUGAAUGCAUGUGUCGUUGGAGUGAAACUCCUCGACUUUCUAAUAAAUGGGGGACGCCCAAACUCAUAGGCCGACCUUGGACUCGAGCCGGCAAUGGGCUUGGUCGGGAACCUAGGCGAGCCAUGAGCCAUAUAAGCUCGACCUAAUAAGAGGUCCUGCUUGGCAUACUCGUAGAGUAUCGCCUUAUAAUAGACUUGUGGGCCCUUGGGGUGUACGGUGGACGGAGGGAAGUAAGUGGUGAUCUACGGAAAUGGAAAUACCGACCCGGUUGACAGGAGGGUCAAUGCGGGAAAGUAUACGAAUGACAUCAACAGAGCGAGUGGAACUUAGCUCCUGAGAGCUACUAUAUCCUUGAAUUGUUUCUGAUUUACUUUUCCUGCUCGAAUGAUUGAUUAAUGAAAUAUCCUGGUUUUAUUUAAUGAAUUUGGGAUUGCUAUUUGAACAAAGUGCUUGCAUGUGUGUUCUUGGCCUCACGAGCAUUUUGCUCACCCUAUAGUUUUGUUUUCCUUAACAGGAUCGAAUCUCGGAGAAGUUUGGAGAAACCCUUCGCUGUACUUUUGUUUUAAGGUUUCUAUUAUAUUUUGGCUAUGCCCUUUGUUGGGGUUGUACUUUUGGAAUUGAAGUGUAACUUUUGGGCCUGACGUAUAUUUGGGAUUUAAAUUGUAUCUUGAACGCCCUAUCUAUGGGUUGGAUAAUGGAUGACUGUUAAGCUUGAACGCUUCCGCAUUUUUGUGUUUAUGUUAUUCUAUCUUGUUGUGACGUUCGGUUUGGUAUUAAGUUGAAUGGAAUUGCUUGAGUCCUGGCGAGAGCUGGGCAGGCGUCCCGCGGAUACCCUUUGGUUCGCUUUAGGGAGAUGUGGGGGCGUCACAGUUGGUAUCAGAGCUUAGGCUUCAGAUCUCUGUAGCGUAUUCUAGGCUUAAAGUUUAGGAUGCCUGACUGUGGGAUUAAUUUGAAUAUUAUGUGAACAAGGAUCUAUUGUAUCUUAGGGGUUAAAGAAAUUGAUUAUUUAGGAGUUCUUAUUUGGGACUUGCAGAAGAAACUGAGGAAUUAGGUGAUGUUAUAUUGAAGGAAGAUAUGGGAUGAGAGAUUUAAAGUGAAAGAUUGGAUGAAUUUGAAUUAUCAUUAUAUUUGUAAGUGUGUAAAGAAUUGAGAUAAUUAUUAGUACUGGCUAUGGAGGAUAAGAGACCGAGAUUUGAUAGUCAAACUCCAUGUGUGAUGAUUUUGAACCAAGAUAAAAGUACAAAGGAAUAAAAUGCAUUUUCCGCCCGCAUAUCUUCUAAAGAAAUUCUGCUUUGAAAAUUUAAAGAAAAACUAGGAUGUACUAGUUUUAUUUGUAAGUGAUGAGUGGAAAUAAGAUAUAUAUUCUUUAAAUAUGUGUAAUUUUCCGAUUUUGGUAAAAAGGUGAGUUUUACUUGAAUUUCAAAUUUGAAAAUUUGUGAAUAACUAAUGAGUUGUUGAACUUUGUAUAUGAUGGGUUAAUACAAGAUUAACAUUUUCUAAGCUAAGUUUUCCCCCUUGAUUGUAUAUUGGUGUAAUCUCACACUUGAAUUUGUCCAUGCUUUACACGAAGAAAAAUAUAUAUAUAUAUCCUGAGUUUUCGAAAGAAUGGCAAGGUUAUGUUUAAUAAUGUGAAUCCUGAACUUGAUAAGAUUUCUGAUUACUUGAAAUACUCUUCUUAUGUUUUAAAAUUCUUGACUUUCAAGAAGAGUGAGCCAAUUUUAAAUGUACGGACUGAGGCAACUUUGAGAUAUAGAGCAACUGCAUUCAAGAGUACAAGUUAGUGUGAAUUGAUUUGGUUUCCAUUUGACACGUAAGGUAGCAAGUUGUACUUAUUCUUGGGUUUGAACUUGGAGCUUGAAACUUUAAUUACAAAACCCUAAGACUGGUUAUUUUUGGAGAUGAUGGUGUUCCGAUUGGUGGCUGGUUAUUAAAGAUUUUGAACUUCGAAUGGAUAAUCUUGGUUUUAGCUUGCGUUAUGGCUUUAUUGGAUCUAAUUUCGUAAAGGCGUGUGAUCUGAUUGAAAUUAGUGAUGUGUGGACCCUUUGGUUUAACUAUGGACUUAGAAAGGGGUAGUGCACGCUGUGAGGCCUUUUGUAUCCUGCUUGUAUGUACUUAUAUAUUUUUGUGGCACUUAAUUGCCUAUGUGCAAUAUUGGACAUAUUGGUCUUGUUUUGUAACUUCUAACCGUGCUAUAACUUUUGAUACAUGUAAUGAAUCAUGACCUGAUUUAAAUGUUUUUGCAACUUGUAUACGCGUUACGCUCUUUAUGCUUAGUUAUGCCUUUUCCUGUGCUUAUAGACUUUUCUUAAGUAGGGUAGCAGGAAUGAGAAAAGGGGACCGUGACCGAGGGCUUAGACAACCCUGUACUUGUGAGACAAAUUGAUAGACAGUUUCAUAUAAUUUAAUAGGUCCCUAGUACUGAAUAUGAAUCGAACAUAAACCCGAAGAUCCGAUCUACUAGUGUAUAAUGGAUUAACCUAGCCGGAAACUUGGUGAGAUUUUCUUGUGCGCAACAUAUGUUAUGAUUGGUUCUGUGCCAAUAUAUCAAUCUUAGGAAGUUUGAACUCCGAAAGUAUUGCAGUGGGUUGGUAAGAGAACUCGAACUGCCUGAAACCGAUUAGACUGAGCUUACUUGAGACUUGAACCUGUUUAGGCUAGUGUGCUCUUGCGUAUCCUCAAUGGACCUAAUUUGACUGAAUAUAUGGAAGGUGGACUUGAAUUUUGUGACUGUUUAAGAAUGUGAAUUGCUGGACAGAGGUUAGGCCAGUGUGUUCUUACUCGUACUCAUGACCCUUGAAUUUGAACUUGAACUUGCACUUGAACUUGAACUUAUAUUUUUGUUCGUACUCACGCACCAUGAACCUGAAGUAUUUGGCUCUGCUUUGACCCUACUCUUGAACUUAUUCGUACUGGUGUGGUUGUAGACCGGUUACUACUCUUCUGUAGCGGUUGAACUGAACCUCUCUGGUGGGGCAUUGCUUGUUGUGUUGUCCAGCACCACUAGGGAUGAACUUUUGAUUUGAAGCUUCGCUAUAUCCUGAAUUUCUUCCAAAUGUCUGGGACUUUACGUCCGACUUCAAGCCUUUUGCCUGUUUUAUCUGAUUACGCGAUUAAUUCCCUAUUGGACCAUGACUAUUUGAUAGGUUGGAUUGGUGUGAUAUGUAGUACUUGAACCUGAUAAGUGAUUAUUAAAUAAACCAUGCUUUGCUGGAUGUAAAGGGUAAGUUAGCCUCGUCUGCACUUAUUUCGGGAAUUCGGGCUAGAAAAUUGUUAAAUAAGGGAGCUCAAGGAUAUUUGGCUUUUCUUAUUAAUACCCGUAGCGAUAAGGUGAAUCUGGAGGACACACCGGUAGUGAAAGAAUUUUCCGAUGUUUUUCCUGAAGAAUUGGAGUCCCUACCCCCGGAACGGGAAAUAGCUUUUAAGAUUGAUGUAGCUCCGGGAACAGCACCUAUCUCAAGGACACCAUAUCGGAUGGCUCCAGCUGAAUUAAAGGAAUUGAAGUUACAAUUACAGGAUCUGUUGGAACGAGGUUUUAUACGAGAGAGUGAUUUCCCGUGGGGAGCCCCGAUUUUGUUUGUAAAGAAGAAAGAUGGGAAUUUGAGGCAACGUAGAUGGAUGGAAUUUCUGGAAGAUUAUGAUUGUACGAUUAAGUACCACCCUGGAAAGGCCAAUGUAGUGGCCGAUGCUCUAAGCCGUCAGGUACAAAUGGCUGGAUUGAUGGUUAAGGAAUUUCAAUUGUUGGAGGAAGUUAGCUAUUGGAAUCCUCGAUUAGAACCAAGGAAAGUGAUUUUGGAGAAUAUUGUGAUAACCUCCACUUUAUUGGAACGUAUUAAGGAAUCUCAGGAAAAGGACCCUGAAAUGCAAAAGUUGGUGGAGAAAGUCAAGAUGGGAGACCAGACCGAUUUCACUUUGGGAUCAGAUAGAAUAUUGAGAUUUUGAAAUCGGGUGGUUAUGCCAAAGGAUGAAGGGCUUAGGAAAGAAAUUUUGGAAGAGGCACACCGAUCAAAGUUUACAGUACAUCCAGGAGGGAAUAAAAUGUACCAAGAUUUGAAAAGUAUAUAUUGGUGGAAAAAUAUGAAAAAGGAAAUUGCCCAAUUUGUUCAGACAUGCUUGGUUUGUCAACAGGUUAAAGCCGAACAUCAGAAACCAUCAGGACUUUUGCAACCUCUAGAAAUACUUGAGUGGAAGUGGGAGAAUAUAACCAUGGAUUUUGUAUCAGGCUUACCAAGGACACAGAGAGGCCAUGAUGCCAUUUGGGUGAUAGUGGAUAGAUUGACUAAAUCAGCUCAUUUUCUACCGAUUAACAUAAAGUAUUCAUUGGAGAAUUUGGCCAGAUUGUACUUGGAUGAGAUCAUCAGACUACAUGGUAUACCUGUGAGUAUUGUGUCAGAUAGGGACCCAAGAUUGUUUCGAGGUUUUGGCAAAAGAUGCAAGAAGUGUUGGGGACUAAGUUAAACUUUAGUACCACCUAUCAUCCUCAGACUGAUGGACAAUCUGAAAGAACAAUUCAGACCCUUGAGGACAUGUUGAGGACUUGUGUAUUGGAUUUUGGAGAGAAUUAGAGUAAGUUUUUGACUUUAGUGGAAUUUGCCUAUAACAAUAGUUUCCACUCUUCUAUUCAAAUGGCUCCAUAUGAAGCGCUUUAUGGUCGAAAGUGUAGAUCCCCGAUUUGUUGGGAUGAAGUAGGUGAACGAAAAAUUUUUGACCCGACUACUGUAUCUUGGAUUGAGGAGGCUAAUGAAAAGGUAAAAUUGGUACGGCAAAAGAUUCAAACAGCUCAGAGUAGACAAAAAAAAGUUAUGCCGACAAUCGGAGAAAGGAUUUGGAGUUCACUGUUGGAGAUAUGGUAUUUCUCAAGAUUACGCCUUUAAAAGCAAGCUUGAUGUCCGGAAAAGGGAAGAAACUACAACCAAUGUUUGUAGGACCUUACAAGGUUAUCCAACGAGUUGGGAAUGUAGCUUAUAAGCUAGAAUUACCACCGAGCUUAUCUCGUAUUCAUAACGUGUUUCAUGUGUCCAUGCUUAAGAAGUAUCAUCCAGACCCCUCUCAUGUUUUACAACCGGAGAAUAUUGAGAUCGAUGAAACCCUAACCUAUGAGGAGAGACCGGUAAAACUUCUGGAUCGAAAGGUGAAGGAAUUGAGGAACAAGCAGAUACCACUAGUGAAAGUUCUAUGGAAGAACCAUGGAGUAGAGGAAGCAACAUGGGAAGUUGAAGAGACAAUCAGAGAGAAGUAUCCAGACUUGUUCAUCGACCAAGGUAAAUUUCGAGGACGAAAUUUUCUUAAGGAGGAGAGGAUGUGAGGACUCGCAAAAAAAAAAACUAUUAUUUUAUGCCUAAUUUAUGGCUUAAUGAAUUAUUUAAUUGGAUUUCUAUUCCAAGGAAUACUUUCUAGUCUUAUUAGACCUAAAUACAUGGUAAUAUAACUUCGUUAUAUUUUUAAAAUGAUUCGUUUCGAAAAUUAAUUUCCUGGAGCGCGUUUCGUAAAAAUAGUGAAUAGUACUUGGAGAUUUUAUCCGCGUAGUAGCACAAUAAGCUUGGAAUAUUGGAGACUUGUACUAUGGUCCUAAAAUAGGUAAUCUUAGGUAUAAAUAUUCAAGUGAUAGUUAGUAGUGCAAUCGUUAUAAGAAUUUUUCGAAAGUUUCGCGUUAUAACGUCAAAUUUGACGGUACGCGUUUUCACACGCGUGACUUUAUUUGAGGGACUUUAGACCCUUAUUUUGGGACAAUUAAGAGUGAAUAAUACUUACAUGAAUAUUAAGGCAUUGGAGGUUUAGUGCACUAGUGAACCAAACGCGCGAAAAAAUCGAGCCGUAAUCGCACCAAACGGCCCCUAAUGAGAGUUGACUUUUGGGUGAAUUUCCACCACUUGUUUUACCUUCUCUUGGAAGCUAAAGGAAAGUCUGAUCACUCUCUCUCCUCCUCUCAAGACAGCCGACCAAACACCCUCCUCUCUCUAACUCAUUUGCUUCAAAAUUUCUGCUCACUAAUCUCACUCAAAACCACCCCAAAUCAUCUCCAAAUUCAACCAAACUUGCACCACACCUAACUUGAUACUUGAGGAGCAUUUUGAGCUGCAAACAAGGGCUGGAAAUCACGAUUUUUCUGGGGCAAUAGAGGGCCGAAAAUUCUGCUGAACAUCAACCCAAAGUAAGUGAUGAUCCACUCUUGAAAACUUGAAGUUUGGAAGCUAUCUUACCUUGUUAAGUUCAUGCAUGCAUUUGGUUAGCUUGUGUAUGGUGUAAAAAUGUGAUUGUGGGCUCUUUGUAUUCCCACACUUGGGUUGUUGUUGCUGAUGUGAUGAUUGAUGGUGGUUAUAUUGUUGGUUUAGUGGUUAAAAUGAUGCAUUAGUGGUGGGUAAUUAGUAGAAACUUCAUUGGGUGUAAGAAGCUAAAAUUUCCGAUUUUGCCCCUGCCAUGUUCGGACAUUUCCAGGCCAAUUUUUAAUGGUCUAACGGCUUGAAUUGGACGUUUAUAGGAUGUAUUAGAUGUGUGAAAAAUUUCAUUGGAAAAUAUUGAGGUUUGAUUGAGCAAAUGAAUUUUCUUGAGAAACUAGCAAAUCUGGAAAACUGUUCGCGUAUGAUUCUGACCAGUGGUAGUAUUUCGGCUAUAACUCUGUCCUCGGAUGUCGAAAUCAUGUGCCGUCAGUGGCGUUUGAAACUAGACAUUCCUGGAUUUAAUUUGGUAUAUAAUGCACGUUCUGAUUCUUUGUGAGCAAGCCGAACCACAUGUUUUAAGUUCGCUGUCCUGUUGCUCUGUUCAUCUGUAAUGAAGUGUUCAGGCAGCAACUUGAUGCCCGAUUUUGCACCAGAUGGGUGCCGAAUUUGGAAACGAUUUCUUUUGUGAUAUUUUAUUCCUAUGAAUGUACUUUCCAACGGCGUAAGCCAUGCUCGAUUUCGAGUUAUAUUGACUGAGUUGUGACUGAAAAAAGUGGACUGCUCUGUUUUGGAAAAACCCUAAUGUUGGACUGGUUUGGAACAAGAUCUUGGAGUGAACUUGUUAAUUGAUGUUCUUGAUACUAAACACUUACCAAAGGCAUUAUGGAUGUUUCUUAGGCCUUUAUUUCACAAAUGAACCAUGAUUGGAUAGUUUGCUUGAUUAAACGUUUUGAAAUGGGUAAUGAAAGUCUCAAGGCAGAUUGCCUUAUAAUUUUCCUGAACUUUGGUUGACUAAUUAACUAUCUUUCCGAAAGUAUUUUUCCCUGAAAUUUGAUAUAACGGUACCUUUCAUAUGGGAGUAAAAUACUGCCAAUUUUUGUACCAAUCCAAGUUCAUUUCGAUACCCAAUUAAAUUGCUAGAGUUGGAGGUUCAAAUCUGGAAAUUCUUCUCCAGUCUUGAAUUUCCCCAACUUUGAGCUACCGUAUCUCGGUACUCGAAACUCCGAUUCUUGAUCCGCUUGUUUUGUUAUAAACCUCACUUGUAACACUAAUUGAGCUACAAAUUUCAGAGGCCGGUUUGCAACGUGUGAAUCGUGCCGAAUUUCCAAAGUUGGCCGAAAUCCAACUUAAUUCUGCCAUGAAAACCAACCCUGCGUCUUCAAACUCAUUUUUGAACACUUUUCACUUCGAUUCAUAGAAAAGUGUCUUCUAGGGACUUAUAGUACUUUCUAAGAGGUUUCCAACGGUAUAAAGUUUUCCAAUUCUUGACUUAUACCGAGCGAGUUAUGAUUUUUCAAAAAUUCAUAAUAAAACUGAAAAUUUUCCAAUUUCAAAGAAAUAGAGUUUUUCAAGAACUCUUUAUUCUUUUGAUAUUCUUAAACGUUUUGCCCUCGAUUCUCAUGAUAAAAACUCAAAUAAUAUUGUACCUAAUAAAAGGCAAGUCGAACCUCGAUUUACGUGUAAUCGAGGUUCCCUUUUCGAAAUAAUCCUUAAAUUGUACUAGUGUACAAUCUUCUUGAUAAGUGGGUUAAUUGUGUAAAUAUCCACUAUUAAUUGCCAGGCGCACAAGGAGACAUUCAAGAGGAACUCACAGUGGACACUUGAACUCCCAGAAAAUAAUUCUUAUUGAAUAGCUCGGUGAGUGUCAAGUGUGUGAAAUUUGAUACUUGCUUAUUUGUGAUAAUUGUUGGAAGUUUUAAGAAUAAGGGCGGGUGCGUACUUUAUCGCGCUCGUUCUAAUUUCAAAUGAAUGAAUGAAAUGUAUUGAAUGAAUGAAUGAAAUGAAAUGUUAUGUCAUGAAUGCAUGUGUCGUUGGAGUGAACCUUCUCGACUUUCUAAUGAAUGGGGGACGCCCAAACUCAUAGGCCGACCGUGGACUCGAGCCGGCAAUGGGCUUGGUCGGGAACCUAGGCGAGCCAUGAGACAUAUAAGCUCGACCUAAUAAGAGGUCCUGCUUGGCAUACUCGUAGAGUAUCGCCUUAUAAUAGACUUGUGGGCCCUUGGGGUGUACGGUGGACGGAGGGAAGUAAGUGGUGAUCUACGGAAAUGGAAAUACCGACCCGGUUGACAGGAGGGUCAAUGCGGGAAAGUAUACGAAUGACAUCAACAGAGCGAGUGGAACUUAGCUCCUGAGAGCUACUAUAUCCUUGAAUUGUUUCUGAUUUACUUUUCCUGCUCGAAUGAUUGAUUAAUGAAAUAUCCUGGUUUUAUUUAAUGAAUUUGGGAUUGCUAUUUGAACAAAGUGCUUGCAUGUGUGUUCUUGGCCUCACGAGCGUUUUGCUCACCCUAUAGUUUUGUUUUCCUUAACAGGAUCGAAUCUCGGAGAAGUUUGGAGAAACCCUUCGCUGUACUUUUGUUUUAAGGUUUCUAUUAUAUUUUGGCAAUGCCCUUUGUUGGGGUUGUACUUUUGGAAUUGAAGUGUAACUUUUGGGCCUGACGUAUAUUUGGGAUUUAAGUUGUAUCUUGAACGCCCUAUCUAUGGGUUGGAUAAUGGAUGACUGUUAAGCUUGAACGCUUCCGCAUUUUUGUGUUUAUGUUAUUCUAUCUUGUUGUGACGUUCGGUUUGGUAUUAAGUUGAAUGGAAUUGCUUGAGUCCUGGCGAGAGCUGGGCAGGCGUCCCGCGGAUACCCUUUGGUUCGCCUUAGGGAGAUGUGGGGGCGUCACAGUAUGUGGAUAUGGGUUAUGACUCGUAAGCGAGUCUCAUUGUGCUUGUUUGAAUGUUUUAGGGCGUGACGGUGGUCCGAAACGCUCAUCGGGUGGGCAAGUGUGAAAAUUCUCUUUGCUUACUUGGUGAGUGUACUACUCACAUGAUUGAUACUUCUUGGCUUUGUUGUACUUGAGAUACAUGAUUGGAAUGUUUGUGUUUACUGAUGAUACUGGUUGAGACGAGGGUGUACUUUACUACUCUCGCACUCUAUGGUUUAAUUGACUGUUCACUGUAUCACUUGAAUUGACUUGAUUAUACUUGAACUGUGUCGUUUGGACGUGUCUCCAACGACUUAUACUAUUAUCACUGAGCUCAACCCCAUUGGUGGUCAAUUGAAUCGAGCCAGCAAGGGCUUGGUCGAGGAAAUGGAUAAAUCAUGGGGAUUGUUAUAAGGAAUUAUUGAGUAUGAGACUCUUGGUUCCGGUAUACUCGAGUAUUACCAUUUAUUGAACUGUUUAGAGUUCGGGCCAGGUAGGGGUAUGUGAGAUGGAAGGAAAUGGGAGUAAAGUGGGGUCUACGGUAUUGGUUACUUUUAAAGAUUGACGGAGCGUCAAUGAGGUGAGAUCAAGUAUGUCAAAAGUGGAAAAGGGCUCUUGAGAGCCGACCGUAUCCUUUUACAAAUCUUCUUGGAAUGUGAUAUUUGUUGUGCUUACUUGAUGAACUUAUUUGAAUAGUGUAUCACUGUCAUUUUGUACCCCUUGAAUGCCUGAGUGAUAGUACCUCAUUGGGUGAAAGCUCACUCCAUUAAAUUUUGUUUUCCUUACAUGGAACAACUUUUGAAGACUGUGAUAUUUUGGUGUACGAGUUGAGCUAGUUUUAAUACAUAUUCUGUGUAAAGCUCCUCGAUGCUUGGAAACUCUGAAUGUACUUGGAUCCAAAUAUGUUCCUUUUAUUUGUAAAUUACAAACGUAUAUGUAUAAAACUAUUUACCUUGUUCAUGUAUCCUAUUUGGUUUGGAAAUAUUUUUCCGAGUUAUAUGGCCAUAUCUGUAUUCGAUUGGCUUCUGGUUGGAUGGUGAUGUGGCAACCACUAUUCAUUGUGGUUUCGAUUUUCGUUUUGCCAUUUGGCGACUUUGAAUCGUUUGAGCGCGCUAUUACCUUCCUGAACAUUUUCGAUUUCAUUUAACUGCUCGUUAGUCCUGGCGAGAGUUAGGCAGGCAGUCCCCUAACCCAUUUGGUACUCCUUAGGGGAAGGUGGGGCUGUCACAAAACAAGGUUUGGACAUUAGUAGUUAGACCACAAGAUCAUCCUAUCAUUGGCACUAAGUGGGUAUUUAGAAACAAAAUGAAUGACAAAGGUGAGAUAGUUAGAAAUAAGGCCAGAUUGGUAGUUAAGGGAUAUACUCAAGAAGAAGGAAUAGAUUUUGAAAAAUCGUUUGCACCCCUAGCUAGGUUAGAAUCUAUUAGGAUGUUUUUGGCUUUUGCAUGUUUCAAGAAUUUUAAAUUAUUUCAAAUGGAUGUUAAAAGUGCUUUCUUAAAUGGUUUUAUAGAUCAAGAAAUUUAUAUUGAUCAACCUCCUGGUUUUGAAAAUGAAAAUUAUCCAAAUCAUGUUUUUAAACUCUCAAAAGCUCUAUAUGGUUUAAAACAAGCUCCAAGAGCAUGGUAUGAAUGUUUGAGUGGUUUUUUUUUUAUUAUUGAAAAUGGCUUCAAAAGAGGUAUAAUGGAUACUACUUUUUUCACUAAACAAAGUUCACGUAAUCUUCUAAUUGUACAAAUAUAUGUGGAUGAUAUUAUAUUUGGUGCUACUAAUGAGAAAUUGUGCAAGGACUUUUCAAAAAUCAUGCAAAAAGAAUUUGAAAUGAGCAUGAUGGGAGAAUUAAAUUUCUUCCUUGGACUCCAAGUGACACAAACUCAAGAUGGAACAUUCAUCAAUCAAAUCAUAUACACCAAGGAACUGCUGAAAAGAUUUGGAAUGGAGGAAUCAAAACAAAUUGGAACACCCAUGUGCACAUCUACCAAAUUUGACAAAGAUGAAGAAGAUACAAAAGUUAAUGAAAAGAAGUAUCGAGGUAUGAUUGGUAGCUUGCUUUACUUAACAGCUAGUAGGCCUGAUAUCAUGUUUGUUGUGUGCUUGUGUGCUCGUUUUCAGUCUUGUCCAAAAGAAUCACAUUUAAAUGCGGUAAAAAGAAUCCUUAGAUACUUAAAAGGAACUCUAAAUUUUGGUCUUUGGUAUCCUAAGUGUCAUGAACUUCCCUUGCAUGGAUUCUCUGAUGCUGACUUUGGUGGCUGUAGAGUAGAUAGAAAAAGUACAACUGGUAUAUGUAAUUUUCUUGGAAAUUACUUAGUAUCCUGGUUCAGCAAGAAACCGAAUGCCAUUUCAUUAUCUACAACUGAAGCAGAAUAUGUUGCUGCUGGUGCUUGCUGUGCUCAAUUAUUGUGGAUGAAAAACACAUUGAAUGAUUUUGGUUUAGUGUAUAAUUGUGUGCCUAUGUUUUGUGACAACACUAGUGCCAUCAAUUUGACAAAAAAUCCCAUUCAACAUUCUAGAACAAAACAUAUAGACAUUAAGCAUCAUUUCAUUCGCGAUCUUGUCCACAAGAGUGAAAUUUGUGUUCAAUAUGUUUGUUCUAAAGAUCAAAUUGUUGAUAUUCUCACAAAAGCCCUUCCACUAGAUCAAUUUGUGUAACUGAGAACAAAACUGGGCGUCUCAGAAAAAAUUUCCUAAGUUUCUCUUUGGUCACUUCUUAUCGGACGUCCGAUAGAUUAAAACGGAUGUCCGACAGUGUUCUUCAUUUUUUUUCAGAAAAAUUCUGGUUCGGACGAUUGCGUUGGACGCGUCAUUUCGUUCGGCCGUCCGACACUCAAAAAUUGUUUCAUAUAAGGAAGCCACCUACCUCAUUAAAUUCAUUUACUUUCUUUGUCUCGGACGCAACCCUUCAGUUCUCUCUCAAAGUUCAAAUUUCAAAUUAUUCUCUCCUCUAAUCAAGUUCCAAGAAAUUGAUUCAAUUGACACUAUUACAUGCCUAUUGCCCAUUAUCUGGACAUAAUAACCUCUUCCAACUUCCAACUGCCUCAUAUUUUUCUAAUUUAUUUUCGAAACCCUAAACUUUCAAAACUGACUUUUUGUGGUUGGUUCGUGCAUCAACAUUAAUUCAUAUUGCAUUCUUCAUCUAUCUCAUACACUCUGCACCACUCCCUACAUCAACAUCUAACUAUAUUACAUCAUGGUUAGAAUUAGAGGUGGUUCUGCGGGGGUCAGACGCUCUUUUAGACUUAGGGAUGAGGAUAUUAAAAUUGUGGAACCCUCCACCAAUGUAUCCAAAAAGAAAACUGUAAAUCGAGGUGGAAAGGUGAAGCAAACUGCUCAAAGGAAGCGAGAUGCUCCAACUGUUGAGCCAUCUGAUGAGCAGAUGGAAGAGCAUCACUCUGAAGAAAAUCUAGUUAGUUGGAAUGCAGAAGAAAUGGAGGAACCCACCCAUGCUGAAGUAACUGUCACGAAAUCACCUGGGAAAAGAAAAAGGUCUGCCCAAAAGGGAAGCACUGCUCAAUCAAAUGCAGAGAAAAAUGCUGAGAUUCAGCACACUCCUGAGCCAUCUACCAGAAAAUCUCCACGGACAAGGCCUGAGAUUCAGAAUACUGAGUUGUCUGCCAAGCAAACUGCAAAAAGGAAACGUUCUGGAAAGGAACCAGUAACUCAGCCUGCUAAGAAACCUUCUCCUCUGCCAAAAUUCAUUGAUGAUGAGGCCAGAGGCAGAUUUGAAUUGGUCUCACAAAAGGGAUUCACCACUCAAAGAACCAUUUCUCCUCCUGAAUUUCGUAAGUUUGACCUCGAACCUAUCAUUAAACUCUUUGAGUUUCAAAAAUGGGUUUCAUCUUCUGUCCAUCCCCAAUAUUUUUUACCCUGGUAUGCUCUAUCAGUUCUUUGCAAAUCUCAGAAAGGGUAAUUCAUACACUGAACUCAUCUCUAGGGUCAACUCUGUAGACAUCACGUUAACUCCUGAUAUUGUGAAUUCCAUUCUGAAAACAAGUAUUGAAACUGGUUUUAAAGGAAAAGUUACAAAUUUCUUUUCAUAUGAGGAAUAUCCCUCUGCUUAUCAUCAUUUUCACAUUACUAAACCCAUGACCUAUUUUCGAUCACACUUUAACACUCCUGCUGAGGCAAGAUUAGAAGAUUUUAGCCCUCAGAACUUGAUUAUUUUUACCAUCAUUUUCAAAUCUGUUGGUACUCACUGAUGGCCACAGAACUGAUGCGAACAAAAUGGAGCUUUAUCUUUUUUACUGUUUUGUUGAAAAAGUCAGAAUUGACUUUGGGUUUGUGAUGUGCAAAUUUCUGCUCAAAAUAGCACUGAUAGUCGUAGGAAGCUCUCUUAUGAAAAAUUUUUGACUCCUAUCUUUACCCAUUUUAAAAUCCCUUUAUUGAAAAAUCACCCAAAAACAGUGCCUCAACAGUUUUCUCACAAGCAUAUUUUGAAAGAAAGAAUCUGAAAUUUUUUGAGGGCCAUUGGUGUUAUAAGGAGACUGUUGCAGAAACUAGGAGAAAGAAUCUUCACGAAACCCCUGUCACUCUUAGGACUCCUCGUAAUCAGUCCAUGUAUAUCUCUCCAUUCAUCAUCAACCCUAGAAAAUCAGCCAGCAAGUCACUCUCUUCCAAUUCUGAGGUCAUCUCCUUGCUCAAGGACCUCAAACAGCAUGUUCUACUCAUUGAAGAUGGUCUCAUGAUGACCAUGUCUCCUGCCCAGCAGUCCAUCUUUAUUGAAAAAAGGAAUCUCCUUGUGCCUCCAAUCCCUGAAUUCAAUGAAAGUGCUUAUAAAAAAGAGCCAAAAUCUCAGCCCACAGAGCAUACUCCUGGUACUGAAGCCACUCCAGAGGCACAUACUUCUAGCUCUCAGCCCAAAGAUAAAGGCAAGACUCCUGUAACUGUGGAGACAACUGAAGAUAAUGAUGAAGAAACUGAGGAAAAAGACCAAGUGGAUUCUGAGCAGUUUCGUCUAACCAGGAGAAGGCCUGGAUCAUCGAAAAUCACCAUUUAAGCACUACUAGAACUUUGCACUUCAUCAUUAGGACAAUAGUUCAUCUUUUGCAUUGAAAAACUUUUGGUAUGCUAUGUAUUGAGGAUCAUAAUCCUCUUUUGAUCUGUCAAACUGAUGUUAUUCUGUUAACUGAUGUUUUUUUAUGUUUUUUCUAUGAAUGGAUGCUUUUAUCAUUUGCUGAGAAUGAAUGUCUUUAUCCUUUGUUGUUUGGUUUUUGUUGAUAAUGUUGAUAUAUUGAUCUACUUGAUAAUUUCUAUUGAAUGCUGACAAAUUUGGUUGGUUCAUCUAGUAUCAUAUGGCUGCUUUAUGAUGACAAAAAGGGGGAGAAAAUGGAUAUGGAUCUUAUAAAUGAGGGGGAGUUGCAAAUACUCUUGUCAUGGAAUCUAUAAGGAAGGGGGAGUCGAUUUGAGGGGGAGUUGAAUUUCUUUUUGAUUCAUCCAAUAUUUUGUCAUCAUAGAAAAAGGGGAGAUUGUAUAUCUCAGUUCAUAACUUUUGAUGAUUACAAAACAAUUGGAUGUUACUAAUAUUCUUUGAAGAGAUUGUUUCAGGAUUUGGAACAAAAACAAGGUCAAAGACUUGAAGCCAAAACAGGAUCAAUGUUUGGCAAAU
rnacentral:lncRNA from 1 species